ensembl:snRNA U6 U6 spliceosomal RNA
UUGCUUCGGCUGCACAUAUACUAAAAUUGGAAUGAUACAGAGACCAGCAUGACCCCUACACAAGGAUGACACACAAAUUCAUAAAGUGUUCCAUAUUUUA